rnacentral:lncRNA from 1 species
UUAUUCUGAUUGAUUUGAUUCUGCACAAGAAGAAAGCUUUAUGCCCAUUUGACUCCCAAGCUCCCGCCUUUCAGGGUUUAUUGUGGAAGUCAGGUUUGGAAAUGUUCUUCUCUGAUUUUGAUCAUUGAUUUAUUUGUAUGAUCCUCCCAUGCUGUGGAACUCAAAGGUUAGAUUAUAUAAGUAUCAACAUUUUCUUCCUUCCUAAG